GUUUGAAGGCUAGCUUCAGGCGGGCCUGCUAAUCGCUGUGUUAAUUCUCACAUCGGGGCUUUGUGAGGGUUGCGCAGAUAAAGAGGCGGUGGUCGUCUAGGCGUGGGUGAAUUCUUACCGAAUGGAAGAUAAGAUAAAAAGCUAAAAGACAUGAUGCACCCGUGUACUUUUUGUAUAAUGGCUUAUAGAGUGUGUUGAAAUUUUUUUGUUCCUGAAAAUUUUAGAGCUAUUUUCUUCCCAGGUUAUUGUUGCAGAAAUAUGCUAGAGAUGGAAAUAGGCGUGAUAUGUGAUGCGAAAAGGUUGAUAGCUGGUUAAGAAGAAAAUGUAUUUUAGUACAGCUAGGGUGUAGCUUUAGUUAAGAGAGAUAACUAAAGUUUUCUUUAAGUGAGUUUAAAAGGGUAAGCUUUUUAAAAUUAUGAGGACUCUCAGAAUAAUAUGUAGGAAUAACAUUUUCCAUCUUUUUUGAAUUUAUUACAAAACGAUUAUUUUUUUUUUUUCAUUCAGUACUUCUUUUUAGGCUUAAAUUUCUAGCCUAAAACUAGUAUAAGAUGAGUAGGAAUAUUUUAUUGGUUUAAAUCGUUGACUUAUUAGAACAUUAGUGGGCUUAAUAAGGCUUUCUUUAUUGUAGAUAACAGUGCUCAUGACCUGGGCACAUAUAUUUCUGUGGGGCGACCUAAGCAUGUAUGAUUUAUAGAUUUAUUUUUAAGGAACUCGGCAACUAUGUCCUCCGCCUGUUUAACAAAAACAUGGCUCCUUGCUGUCUAAUUUUAACAUAAGGAGUCGGGCCUGCCCGGUGGCAUUCUGUGCUAAACGGCCGCAAUUUGCAAUUGUGCUAAGGUAGCGCAAUCAAUCGUCCUUUAAUUGGGGAAAGGUAUGAACGGUUUGACGAGGGGGCUACUGUCUCGGGAAUAAGUUCUGAAAUUUUCUUUUCAGUGAAAAGACUUAGAUUUUGUAAUAAGACGAGAAGACCCCGGUGAGCUUGAUUAGUUUUAGUUGUAUAAUUAAUAUGAAGUUUUGUUGGGGCAACAGGAAGGGAAAAAGACUCCUUCCCAGGAGAUAAAGAUCCUCUUUGAGUGAAUUAAGCAAAAGCUACCACGGGGAUAACAGCGUAAUCCCUUUAUAGAGAUCUAAUCGAAGAAGGGGUUUGCGACCUCGAUGUUGGAUUAGGGUUUCAUCCUGGUGCAGGGGCUAGGAGGGAGGGACUGUUCGUCCUUUAAUCCCCUACAUGAUCUGAGUUCAGACCGGCGUGAGCUAGGUCGGUUUCUAUCUAUUGGCUAAUUUUGCUAGUACGAAAGGAAUUUGAAGUUGAGUUAUUGAACUUCCAUCUUUAUUAGACGUGAGGAAUGGUGAUAUUUAGCCCUAUUUUUGUGGUUU
rnacentral:rRNA from 1 species